rnacentral:rRNA from 1 species
UACGUAGGUGGCAAGCGUUGUCCGGAUUUACUGGGUGUAAAGGGCGUGUAGCCGGGCUGACAAGUCAGAUGUGAAAUCCGGGGGCUCAACCCCCGAACUGCAUUUGAAACUGUUGGUCUUGAGUAUCGGAGAGGCAGGCGGAAUUCCUAGUGUAGCGGUGAAAUGCGUAGAUAUUAGGAUGAACACCAGUGGCGAAGGCGGCCUGCUGGACGACAACUGACGGUGAGGCGCGAAAGCGUGGGGAGCAAACAGG